rnacentral:rRNA from 1 species
GGCGAACGGGUGAGUAACACGUGGGUGAUCUGCCUUGCACUCUGGGAUAAGCUUGGGAAACUGGGUCUAAUACCGGAUAGGAACCGUCUUUAGUGUGGUGGUUGGAAAGUUUUUUCGGUGCAAGAUGAGCUCGCGGCCUAUCAGCUUGUUGGUGGGGUAAUGGCCUACCAAGGCGUCGACGGGUAGCCGGCCUGAGAGGGUGUACGGCCACAUUGGGACUGAGAUACGGCCCAG